AGAGUUUGAUCCUGGCUCAGGACGAACGCUGGCGGCACGCUUAACACAUGCAAGUCGAACGAGAGAAGAGGAGCUUGCUUUUCUGAUCUAGUGGCGGACGGGUGAGUAACACGUGAGCAAUCUGCCUUUCAGAGGGGGAUACCGAUUGGAAACGAUCGUUAAUACCGCAUAACAUAAUUGAACCGCAUGAUUUGAUUAUCAAAGAUUUAUCGCUGAAAGAUGAGCUCGCGUCUGAUUAGCUAGUUGGUAAGGUAACGGCUUACCAAGGCGACGAUCAGUAGCCGGACUGAGAGGUUGAUCGGCCACAUUGGGACUGAGACACGGCCCAGACUCCUACGGGAGGCAGCAGUGGGGAAUAUUGCACAAUGGAGGAAACUCUGAUGCAGCGAUGCCGCGUGAGGGAAGAAGGUUUUAGGAUUGUAAACCUCUGUCUUCAGGGACGAAAAAAGACGGUACCUGAGGAGGAAGCUCCGGCUAACUACGUGCCAGCAGCCGCGGUAAUACGUAGGGAGCGAGCGUUGUCCGGAAUUACUGGGUGUAAAGGGAGCGUAGGCGGGAUCGCAGGUCAGAUGUGAAAACUAUGGGCUUAACCCAUAAACUGCAUUUGAAACUGUGGUUCUUGAGUGAAGUAGAGGUAAGCGGAAUUCCUAGUGUAGCGGUGAAAUGCGUAGAUAUUAGGAGGAACAUCAGUGGCGAAGGCGGCUUACUGGGCUUUAACUGACGCUGAGGCUCGAAAGCGUGGGGAGCAAACAGGAUUAGAUACCCUGGUAGUCCACGCCGUAAACGAUGAUUACUAGGUGUGGGGGGACUGACCCCUUCCGUGCCGCAGCAAACGCAAUAAGUAAUCCACCUGGGGAGUACGACCGCAAGGUUGAAACUCAAAGGAAUUGACGGGGGCCCGCACAAGCAGUGGAGUAUGUGGAUUAAUUCGAAGCAACGCGAAGAACCUUACCAGGUCUUGACAUCGUAUGCAUAGCUCAGAGAUGAGUGAAAUCUCUUCGGAGACAUAUAGACAGGUGGUGCAUGGUUGUCGUCAGCUCGUGUCGUGAGAUGUUGGGUUAAGUCCCGCAACGAGCGCAACCCUUACUGUUAGUUGCUACGCAAGAGCACUCUAGCAGGACUGCCGUUGACAAAACGGAGGAAGGUGGGGAUGACGUCAAAUCAUCAUGCCCCUUAUGACCUGGGCCUCACACGUACUACAAUGGCUGUCAACAGAGGGAAGCAAAGCCGCGAGGUGGAGCGAACCCCUAAAAGCAGUCUUAGUUCGGAUUGUAGGCUGCAACCCGCCUACAUGAAGUCGGAAUUGCUAGUAAUCGCAGAUCAGCAUGCUGCGGUGAAUACGUUCCCGGGCCUUGUACACACCGCCCGUCACGCCAUGGGAGUCGGUAACACCCGAAGCCUGUAGUCUAACCGCAAGGAGGACGCAGUCGAAGGUGGGAUUGAUGACUGGGGUGAAGUCGUAACAAGGUA
rnacentral:rRNA from 1 species